CCUUCAAAAAAGGUAAUUAUCUCGUAGAUGCUGUUUGAGCUUUGCCAACCACAAGCGCCUCCUUUCCUCUGAUAACUUCUGGCAUUCCUCUCCCUGCUUUUUUAAUAACUUUUGGAAGUCGAUAAUAUUCUGAACACUUUUCU